UAGGGAAUCUUCGGCAAUGGGGGGAACCCUGACCGAGCAACGCCGCGUGAGUGAAGAAGGUUUUCGGAUCGUAAAGCUCUGUUGUUAAGGAAGAACGAGUGUGAGAAUGGAAAGUUCAUACUGUGACGGUACUUAACCAGAAAGGGACGGCUAACUACGUGCCAGCAGCCGCGGUAAUACGUAGGUCCCGAGCGUUGUCCGGAAUCAUUGGGCGUAAAGGGUACGUAGGCGGGUAAGCAAGUUAGAAGUGAAAUCCUGUAGCUCAACUACAGUAAGCUUUUAAAACUGCUCAUCUUGAGAUAUGGAAGGGAAAGUGGAAUUCCUAGUGUAGCGGUGAAAUGCGCAGAUAUUAGGAGGAAUACCGGUGGCGAAGGCGACUUUCUGGCCAUAAUCUGACGCUGAGGUACGAAAGCGUGGGUAGCAAACAGG
rnacentral:rRNA from 1 species